CGUGAGCAAUCUGCCUUGGAGUGGGGAAUAACGGCUGGAAACAGCCGCUAAUACCGCAUGAUACAGUUGGGAGGCAUCUCUCUGACUGUCAAAGAUUUAUCGCUCUGAGAUGAGCUCGCGUCUGAUUAGCUGGUUGGCGGGGUAACGGCCCACCAAGGCGACGAUCAGUAGCCGGACUGAGAGGUUGGCCGGCCACAUUGGGACUGAGACACGGCCCAGACUCCUACGGGAGGCAGCAG
rnacentral:rRNA from 1 species